GUUGAAAUACCAGUUCUUGUUCGAUCACCGAAGUUAAGCAACAGUAAACCUGUUCAGUACCUAGAUGGGUGACCGUUUGGGAAUACCAGGUGCUGUAA